UACGGAGGGGGCUAGCGUUGUUCGGAAUUACUGGGCGUAAAGCGCGCGUAGGCGGCUUUGCAAGUUAGAGGUGAAAGCCCGAAGCUCAACUUCGGAAUUGCCUUUAAAACUGCGAGGCUAGAAUUGUGAAGAGGUAAGUGGAAUUCCGAGUGUAGAGGUGAAAUUCGUAGAUAUUCGGAAGAACACCAGUGGCGAAGGCGACUUACUGGACACAUAUUGACGCUGAGGUGCGAAAGCGUGGGGAGCAAACAGG
rnacentral:rRNA from 1 species